UCUUUGGCAGUCCAGUGGUUAGGACUCAGCGCUUUUACUGCUGGAGCCCGGGUUCAAUCCUUGGUCAGGGAA
rnacentral:tRNA from 1 species